rnacentral:lncRNA from 1 species
UAAUUGCAUGGCAUAUAAACAUGCUUCCUCUUCUUCCUCUGGAGUAAGGUUGAGGUUGUUUUGGGUUGAACCCAUUUUAUUUGUUAAUGAAAGUGUGAAAAUAAGUUUUAUCAAGAAGAAGAAGAAGAUGAUCCAACCAAAAAAAAGAAGAAGAUGAUCAAAGAAGAAGAAGAAAGGAAAAAGUAACAGGAGAAGAAAAUGAAGAUGGAGUAUUAUGAUGGAAUAGGGGAUCCGAAGAACAUAUAACGUGGUUAAUGUGCUCACCAACUAAGGAACAGAGAGAUGAAGACUACCUGCAGUCCUGCACACAUGUCCCCACCAGGACCAUCAGGGAUAGACCCUGCCAGAAUUUUGAUAGCAUAGAUAGAACCAAUAAAUAGAUGAUGAUAAUGAUAUUUCUUGCAGCAUUUUGCUUUAAUUUUCAUUAGUUAUAAUCCGGACAACAACCGAACUGUAACUGUAAUCUCGUCCCUAUGCAGGUCAUCAUCUUUGAGACUUAGAUAGUACAGUAGUAUUAUAUUUGGCCUUUUCUUUUCUACCCAAACUUGGAAAUGGGUUAUAUAACUUAUAUUUGGAUUAAAUUAUUUCGAAACUGGGACUGGGUAGGGGUGUACGCUUGGUUGUGGUCGGAAAAUUGGGAGGUUUUCUGCACUUUUCGUGUUUUUCUUCUGAUUUCAAUAUAUAAACUUAUAAUUAAAAAAAAAACAUACAUUACAAAUUAAACACACGACAAAUCAUACAAGGAAGCUAAGACGGAACUAUUACACAAGAUAGUUUUACUCAUAGGUAAAAAAAUCGUAAAUAUCGGGCGGAUAUUCAUAGAACUUUUAUAUGUUUCUAAUUCAAGAACUAAACACAAACAACCUCAUUACAACUCAACCCAUAGUUUUAUUUUAAUAAUCAAAAUAAAAGACAUGCUAACCCCAGAAUGAUAGACGCCCCAUGUCAAACCGAUGAGCUUCGAGUCGCAUACGUGUGGGGACGAACUCAGUACAGUAAUAUUCCCAUGACAUUGUUUGCUCGUACGACCUGAAUUGGUCAAUAUGCAUAUCAUAUGCAUCUUGAUCCAUACAAUACGGAGCAAAUGAUUCAAAGAUAGAAAAUCUCGAGUAUUGUUGAACCGACAUUAAUGUAUCGGCUGACUGCACGUCCGACCCACUUGUCAUUGGGGCCAACCAACUCCCUAUAUUAGGAAACCAAGAACCCCUGGAAUCUGGUUGGGUUUGGUAGGAUGGUACACUGGAAUCAUCACUUUGGGAGGUUUUCAUGUUACCAUAAGAAAAAUGAGGGUAAACAUAGGUAGGUUGGAUGUUGCUUUGAGAAUAAGGGAGGUUCCACGAACCUUGGGAAGAAAACUGGUCAGGAAUGUUCCAUGAACCUUGGAAAGAUACCCUAGAUGAUUCUGUUUCCGUUUUAGGAUGCGGUCUUUUCUGUCGAGGUCGUUUUCCUUCUCUUGGUUGUUGUCAUGCAUCAUGGUCUUCAUCUUGGGUGGCAAAAAGAAAUUGAGACUCCCCCGUAAAAUGAAUGAAAACUUUAUAAAAGUGAGAGAGAACUUCACUUUGGCAUGGGCGUACUUUUUUUUUUUCGUUUCUUUCUGAUAUAUUGUUCUACAAUGAUGAUAGUUAUAGAAAAUACAGAACUCAUUUAAUAAUCUUAUGACACAUGCAUUCCUUCCUACAUUCUGACUUGCAAUAACCUUAGAAGCAUUAAUUGUUACUUUCAAUUGAGCGGGAAAAUGAUCAAUGAAAUUUAACUUUCUUUAUAUUAUAUCAAUUGAGAGGGCCAUGAAGUUCGUCGCAAAAGUUUCCAAACAUCUAGUGCCUUUUGGACCUUUUUUUGAUAAUCUCAUCGAAAAAAUUCUAGUUCGGGGGGGAAUUAAAAAUAAAUGUGUUAAUUUCAAAUCGAAAAUGUUGUAAAUUUCGUAAAUUUCGGGUUUUGCCGAAUAUUUCGUGAAUAUCCGAUAAAUUCCGAACGGCAUGGGGUGUUUUAAAUUUCGUUUAUAUGUCGUAUGCCGUACCGAUCCGAAUAGCCAAAAAACAGAAUAUUUCGUGAAUAUCCGGGCGGCAAAUUCGAUUUUUUCACCUAUGGUCUGGAUUACUCUCCAACCCCCCAAACGCCUGAAGAUACCCUACCCAAAGUAGGGGUAUUUGGAUAAUUUCGUAUUAUUGGGCCAAACUACUGAAUAGGUUAUUGGGCUAUUAUUGAUGGGCCGAUACAAGUUUCACAUAUGGGCUAUGACUGUUCAGUAUAGUCUUCCUCUUGUACAGAGUUAAAAAUGGUGUAGUUCUCUUGUCCAACAGUGUCCAUUCCUCAUAUCAUUUCAAAUAAAAUACAUAGUAAUGAAUUUGCAAGGCCAAACGGGUGAAAUUUACAUGAUAUGGGAUAACUAUGUAGAGUUUUAUUCCCCCAUGGGAAAAGUUGGCAUCCCUUGGUGGCUGGGUGAAAAGAUCAAUAGGAAUUUGCGACAUAAUAUUGCCAUCUGCAAAACAUUUGUGAUGAUAUUUUCAUAUUGUUAUUUAACAUUGUGAAUUGUGAUGACAUUUUGUGGCUCACGAGAUUAGAGUAUUGUGAAUUUAUGGUUUAUGAGAUAUGUACAAACAAGAAUCUCUUUUUUUCAUAUAGAAAAUAUACAAUUAGCAUUGUACAAUCAUGCUUUGAUCUAUUGAUAAAAGGUUUUUAAAUUUUGGAACGUCUAAAUAAUGUCUAUUUAGAAAAUGGGACGUUUUUAAUUGGUAUGUAUGAGUAGAGCAUAAAUGAAACAUAGAUUGAUUCUGUACUUCCUUAAGUGAUCAAUAGCAGAAAUGCAUACAUAACAAUAAAUAAAACCAGACAAGAACAUACUCAUAGCACAAAAUCUAUUUAUUAUGUUAUCUAUUUAUAGAAUUCCAUGAUCCAACUGUUGAAAGCAGAACACACGACUUUGAAUCCGGCAAAUCCACUUUCAACUGACAAAACUUCAAAUUCUUUCUCAGUUCUCUCUUUUCCUCCUGGAUUAUGAGCCAACAUGAUGUUAUCAAGUUGGAAGACACGAUUUGCUGCCAGAUUAGUCUCAGGAAAUACUGGGAGAAUAUAUUCCACGAUAAUUGCUUUUCCAUUUACAGGUAAUGCUUCAUAACAGUUCUUCAAAAUUUUCACACAAUGCUCGUCGCUCCAAUCAUGCAGAAUCCACUGAAAUCAUACAAGAAUUAAAGAGGUUUAGACAGACUUAUCAUACAACCAUUUUAUAGUUGAGAAACUUGACAUUCUUACCUUCAUGAAAAUAGCAUCUGCUCUUGGAACACUAACAAACAUGUCUCCUCCAAUAUGCUCUACACCUGCAAACAAUGGCCAGAAGCCCAAAAAACUUACAUUAGAUGACAUGUAGGUGAAAGGGAAAAGAUCAAAAGAGCAACCUACACUAUACUAGUUUUAAGAAGAUGGGGUAGAAUUUUUCAUAAUCAAUUAACAUGUGCAUUAAACUUUACCUGGAUAGGCUGGUGCAACAUCAAUAACAUGAGGCAAAUCAAGAUUAAUGCCCUUGAUUGUUGGGUGCUUGGUCACGAUCUUGUUUAUUGUAGCACCAGUUCCACCACCAACAUCAACUAUACAUUUUAGUCCCUCAAACCCUUUGUACAGUUGGAGAAGCUUCUUCAUGAUUAUAGUGGAGUGAUCUGACAUUCCCCUGUUAAACACCUUGUUGAAUCUAGAAUCUGUACCAUGAUACUCAAAUGCAGUCAUUCCAUAUGCCUUAUUAAAUGGAAUUCCACCAUCAAGUACUGCAUCCUUCAAGUGGUACCUAUAAUGUUGAAAUAUACAUAGAUCAGUUUGAAGUUUUGAACUUAAUGAUGAUUAAAAGACAACAUUCAUUGUGUGUUUGGAAAAACAGUUAUAGUAACCUAGAACGGUAAGUAUAUUCUUUACGGUACGGGGAUUGGACCUUUUAGAAUGAGGGCACUGGGCAUUUAGAUAGGUAGAUUUCUUGUUGUUGUAAAAUAUAAACAUUUACUGAUCCCUGUUUUUAUCACUUUGUGUGUCGGCACUGGGCACCUAUUAGAAUGAGGGAAUGACAAUAAGAUGUCUCACUCACCAUAUCUUGCUUUGUGUAUACCACUAGAAAUGGAGUGAUCAUUAGUUCGUCAACUCGGUCAAAUGGUUAAUGAAUAGAGCUGCUUAGCAACUAAAAUCCUUCUUAAUUAGAUGUGAACAAAAUCCCAAAUAUUAAAAUUUGACUUAUGUUUUUCAAUUAGGGUCAGACCUAUAUGUAUAUAGUUAUAUAUAUUGUCACUUUGUCAGUGACAGUGAGGAUCAUAUAUAUAGGCAAUAUAUAUAUAUAUAUAAACCUCUAAAUCAAAUACAAGCAAACAUUAUGUAAAGGAAAGAUAAUUAAGGGUGCUUAAUUACCAGCUCUCCAUAAGGACUUUAUCUUGGUUCAUGAGCACCAAAGGAGCCAUGGAUACACCAUCUUCAUUCUUGACCAAGAACUUGCAAACAGGUGCCAGCCCAUACAAUCUUUCAACCUCACCAUCCUCCAAAUUGGGCAUAUUGCAAGUUAAUAUCUUAUAACUAGCAAGUAAGCGUAGGAUACGAUCUAGAAUAAUAGGAGCCUGUGUGUUGUUGGUGGACAGUUGAGAUGCAAUUUCAGUAGUGGUAAUGUAUGCGCCUUGACCAGCUUUGGCAAUUAUUUCUAAGACAUCUAGCUCAAUAGCUGCUUUUAAGACCAUUGGUAGAACUGAUGCACUGGCUAAUUGCAUGGCAUAUAAACAUGCUUCCUCUUCUUCCUCUGGAGUAAGGUUGAGGUUGUUUUGGGUUGAACCCAUUUUAUUUGUUAAUGAAAGUGUGAAAAUAAGUUUUAUCAAGAAGAAGAAGAAGAUGAUCCAACCAAAAAAAAGAAGAAGAUGAUCAAAGAAGAAGAAGAAAGGAAAAAGUAACAGGAGAAGAAAAUGAAGAUGGAGUAUUAUGAUGGAAUAGGGGAUCCGAAGAACAUAUAACGUGGUUAAUGUGCUCACCAACUAAGGAACAGAGAGAUGAAGACUACCUGCAGUCCUGCACACAUGUCCCCACCAGGACCAUCAGGG